CGAAUCUUAAGAAAACUUCCCUGUGUCC
rnacentral:sRNA from 1 species